GACGAACGCUGGCGGCGUGCUUAACACAUGCAAGUCGAACGGUAAGGCCCUGCUCUUGUGGGGUGCUCGAGUGGCGAACGGGUGAGUAACACGUGAGUAACCUGCCCUUGACUUUGGGAUAACUUCAGGAAACUGGGGCUAAUACCGGAUUGGAUCUCCUUCUGCAUGGUGGGGGUUGGAAAGUUUCGGCGGUUGGGGAUGGACUCGCGGCUUAUCAGCUUGUUGGUGGGGUAGUGGCUUACCAAGGCUUUGACGGGUAGCCGGCCUGAGAGGGUGACCGGCCACAUUGGGACUGAGAUACGGCCCAGACUCCUACGGGAGGCAGCAGUGGGGAAUAUUGCACAAUGGGCGGAAGCCUGAUGCAGCAACGCCGCGUGCGGGAUGACGGCCUUCGGGUUGUAAACCGCUUUCGCCUGUGACGAAGCGUGAGUGACGGUAAUGGGUAAAGAAGCACCGGCUAACUACGUG
rnacentral:rRNA from 1 species